CUUCUGUACACUGUGUACCACUGAAGACAUUAUUUUGGGCAGAACUUAUUUCUCUCUCUCUGGUUGUCUGGUGAUAACUCAUCAAAAGUUCAGGCCAAGAGGAAGUAACUGCUGGUGUUGUGGAGUGUGUACACAAUUCAGACAAGCAUGGAGAAUCAGCAAACCGAUGCAGUGAAAAUGGUGUAGCAGGUGUUGCCAAGAAAGAAGAUGGCACUAGGGUAGACUGACUACUAUCAGGUUAUACACACCUGUAAUAAGAAGAUUAUAUGACUGACUAUCCAGCCGGACCAGUACUUUUCUUGAGCCAUGGAGUCUGGCAGAUAUUAUAGCGAUACCUGAGUGGAUCGUUUGUUUCUGCUAUCACCAUCACCCAUCAGACUUCAGCUACAACAUAUUUUUGCUGUUGUGGAACAGCUGAAGCAAUUCCUCAGAAGCAUGCACAAGAUGGUGAAACAAGCUUCACAGGACAUUUUUGUCAAGACAAAACACAGCUUUUCUGAAUGCAGCAGUAGCAGUAAAGAAAAUGAUGAUGCAAUAGAACGGAUUCUAAAGAAAUGAAGACGAAGAGUCUGCAAUACUUUUUCUUGGAAGAAUGAUCCCUUAUAUACUGAGUUGGGUUUUAUAGACAUAAACAAUGGUGAACUGUGAAAACAACAAUGCAUGGUAUGCAGAGAAGUGCUGUGUAAUGAAGCAAUUAAACCAUUACAACUUGAGGCAUUUACACAUAAAACAAACAAAAAAACCCUGAAAACUAAAACAGUUCUUUGAAUUAAAUAUCUGAUAGAAGCAAAUGUUCAGUAUUUAAAAUAUCAACACUGGUGCUUUGUGAGCUUCUUAUAAAGUAGCAUUUUGGUUUGCGAAGACUUAAAAUGAUAAACAAUUAUGGAUGAAAGACUGCUUCAAAGAUGUUUGCUUGGAAAUGUUACGAGUCUGCAGCAAAUAUGGUAUCUCAAGUAUCACUUUCCAAUGACACCAUAACUCAACCUAUUCAGAAACUGGCUAAUGAUAAGGAAGACCAUUUCACAGAAGAAAUAUAGCUAGCAAAAUAUUUUUCAUUGCAGCUUGACAAAUACACAUAUAGUGCUUACAUGGCAAUUAUUUUAGUCUAUAUGUGAUUUUAAUAUGAUGGUGAUGUAAAGGAAAUUAUUUUUUCUGCUUCAAUGCCAGCAAAUACAACUAGCUCUGAACUGUAUAAAACUGUGAAGGAUUACAUUGUUGAAAAAUAUAGCUUAGUAUUUAAGUCUUAUGUAGUGGUUUGCUCUGACAGUGCAGCUACAAUGAUAGGAAAACAUUCUGGAGUAGUUACCCAGGAUAGGGAGCUUGUGCCAGAAUGUACAUCAAUGCUCUGCUUCCUUCAUCAAGAAAGUCUUGCUACAAAAAAACUGUCAGCUGAACUAAACAGUGUGCUCAGUGAUGCAGUAAAAUUUUUGAGUUAUGUAAAGGCCAAAGCAUUACAUUUUAGAUUAUUCUCUUUGUUAUAUGAUAGUAUGGAAACUGAUUAUAAACAACCAUUAUUGCAUGCUGGGGUACAAUGAUUAUCGAGGGAAAGAUUCGAUUGGGAAUGUUUGAACUACAGAAAAACUCUUCGUGGUUCUGCAAGAUAAGAAACUAGAAGUGAACUGGACAGCAAGACUCACUUUUUGUAUGAUAUCUUUGGUAUUUGUAAUGAUCCUAAUACUUCUAUGCAAGGAAGAAAUGCAACAUGGGUUUCAAUGGCAGAUAAGAUCGAAGGGCAAAAUCAAAAGUUAAAAGCUUGAAAGAACAGAGAUUCUACAGAUUGUUCUGAAAUGCUCCAUAACUUGACAAUAUCUAUCAGUGCUGAUCACACUUGACAACAUGAUGAUCUUGACAUUACACAUCUGUGAAAAAUUAUCACUAAACACCUUACAAAUUUGACAGAAUAAUUAUUAUUAUCCUUUCUAUCAGAAGCAGAUCCACUCACAGGAAAUUUAUGGAUCCAGUUCCAUUUUUUUCACCUAAAGAUAACUUAAAUUAAACUAUAACUUUACAAGCUAAAUUGUUAGAACUGGCUACUGAUAAAGGCUUGAAGAUGAAAUUUGAAAAUACUGCAUCUCUUGCCUCAUUUCUGGAUACAAAUUAAAAUGAAUAGCCUGAGUUGCUGAAAUUUCUUUAAAAUCUCUCCUUUCAUUCUUGUCAACAUAACUCUAUGAAACUGUCUCUCUACUAUGAAUGUUAUUAAAAGAAAAUAUAGAAACAGUUUAGAUAUGUAUUAUUCCCUUUGAGUAGCAUUGUCAUCAAUACAACCUCAUUUAGAUAAGUUAAUAAGCAAGAAACAACCUUAUCUCUCAUGUUAAAAAUUAAGUAUCAGAAUACAGUGCUAACUGACAUAAUAUUUUCUUAGUGACAAUCUUUUAAUUGUUUUGCACUGAUUUACAUAAAAAUUGUCUGUUGAGUCCUACACUAAAUAACCUGGGCUUGUAUUUUGUCUGUUUUUAUUUCGUUUUUUAAGUAAUCAGUUUUUUUGUGUGUGUUUUACAAAAAUUGUCCCUGACACAGAUUGGAAAUAAAAACAACUGGUCCCCAACCACUGAUAGUUUGAGAAGUACUCAUUUUUAGACCAGAGUGGGUAUCUUGUUUCAGUUUUGUUCUUUC